UCUACGAAGUGUUGGCUUCGGCGGUGGU
rnacentral:sRNA from 1 species